UUCCUCAGCCUAAAGCUUCUGUGUUUGUCAGUCCUCUGCCACAGAGAUCCACGACAGCUUCUCUGUGAUGAUAGCAAAGGCGUCCGGAGAGUCCCCUGAGCUGAUCAGCACCUCCUGGCCUGAGAUCAGACUCAUUCUCUCCUAUUCUGCGUAUCAAGUCAACAUCAGUGGCGUCAACAACGCCAGCAUCUCUCCUGCUGUGAGCCAGCUGAUACCACAGCGUGAAGGUGUGGGAGACGUGAGGCUGAACGUGACGGUGCACAGCAACACGUCUUUUACCAUCUACUGGAGGGACGACCUGAUCAGAACAUUCGUCUGCUUCUCUGUGGAGUGGUGGAAGAAGGGGCAAAAAGUGACUUACAUGUCCUUCUAUGAGAGCGACAGGAACCACAAGACGCUACAUCCGAAAGGUCUGGAGCCGUACCAGAGGUACAGCAUCACUCUGCACACACGGCCCAACAAGGACACCUGCAACAUGAAGCACAUCAACAACAGCGAGAGCACCUACAGCACCGCACACUUCUACUCUGUGCAAGGAUGUAAGUCAGACGUCCUCCUAUCCUCUUACCAGCACAAAAUGCUACAACUGAGUUUUUGUCCUUCGUCAAGCUCCCGUCAGCGCUCCCACAAACAUCAGCAGCCACAAUGUGACGCUGGAUUCGGUGGAGCUGCAGUGGGGCGCCAUCCCAGAGGAGGACAUCCGAGGUUUCCUGCUGGGUUACACCAUCCACUACACCGAGUACCAGCAAGGGGAGGCGAGCACGGAGAACAAUGUUAUAGUGGAUCCAGAGCUUAACAACUACAAACUGGAGAAUCUUAUAAGCAGCACAACGUACCGAGUGCAGAUAUCAGGCUUCACAUCUGCAGGAGUCGGAGUACGAAGCGAAGAACUCCUCUUCAAAACAAAUCGUGAAGGUUGGAUCAUUUAACAACCGUUCAUAAUUGAUUUUAAGAUCAUUAUAAUUUCAUAAAAUUCUUUUUGAAUAUUCUUUGCACAGCAGAUUUUAUUUCCAACAGUGUCAUCACCAUGUUGGCAGUUCUGACCACUCUGCUGAUAUUUGGAUCACCGAUACUAAAAAGGUAUUCGAGAUUAUUAUCAGAUUAUUACUCAGAUCAACUCUACACAACUCAUCCUUCUCCGCCCCCUCCUGUCUAUAGAGCAAAGGUCCUGCUGUGGCCGAGCAUACCGAACCCUAGGAAAAGCAAUGCACUGCAGAAAAUAGACAGGCCCUGUGAGCUGGUGAGUGUCGGUUUCUGCUUUUAAAAUGUGCACCAUCAGAAGCUGUGAGAUGCUCUGUGUUAUUUUCACCCAGGAACUCCUCGGGGCGAUCGACACCCUGAAGGUGGAAGAACGGGACACAGAAAGUCUUCAGCUAGUCGAAAAGGUGGCGGCGACCCCUGCUAGCACUUCACCGUCCACGAUACCACUCCUCCACCAUUCAGGAGACGAGACAGACUCAGCGGGAGCAACCUGCAACUGGAUGCAAACGGACACGGGAAGUAUGACCGGAGACUUCAUGUCUGAUGAGUUUAAAACCUUGGACACGCAGCGGACAGUCGUCCAGAGUUCACCUUUGACCUUUUCAAGCGAAUAUACCACGAUCGAGAUGUUCCAGCAGGCGAUGCCACAGCCAGCACCAUCAGUCUUAGAAGCAGAGGCCGCAGAUGUGACUGUGGUGCCAUCACGGAUGGACUACAUACGACAAUUCAGUUCCAGUCCGACUUCUGAGGGCGAGCACCUGUCCACAGUCUGCUGAGCCGUCAAUGCCUGAGAGACAGUUUCACUGCUCACUGGCUGCUGCAGGUCAACAGCAUGGAUUCGUAUGUGUGUUAAUGAUAAAUAGCAAUACUAAGAUUAGCUGGUUUUUUAUAUAAACGAGAGGUUGUUGUGGCUUCCUUCGAAGGUCGUGCAUAAAGAGUCAUCUAACUCGCUUGAAGUUAGCUACUACCACCAUAACACACCUGAGUCUCUGAUAAACUAGACUAUGGAUGAACUGGAUUGUGGGUAAUGUAGGCACCAACAUUUAGAAGGAUGUGUAAAAUAUAAAAACAUUUCUGGUUAAUGAAGGUGCCAAACAUCCAAGCAUUUUGUUGCAUACGUUAUAUAAACAGUUGAGUGUCGUCAGCAAAGUAAUGAACAUUAAUGAUUGCUUCACAUUAAAAUAUAUAUAUAUUUUAAUGAAGUUUGUUUCUCACUGAAACGUGGAGCAAACCAUCUGAAUGAAAAGUCUCUUUAUUGAGUGUUUUUGGAAACAAAUGAGACGUACUGAGAAGGACCACACACACCUACAUCCAAGCUCCUCAAACACAGCGCUACCAAACGUUUACACGCCGCCCCAAACACAUCACGCAGCCAAACCCAGUGGAGCUGGAGCACACAUCGUCAAACAACUUGCGUAGUGGAUAUAAAAAAUAAAACUCUUCACAUACUGUCA
rnacentral:lncRNA from 1 species